rnacentral:rRNA from 1 species
GAUGAACGCUGGCGGCGUGCCUAAUACAUGCCAGUCGAGCGAACGGACGAGAAGCUUGCUUCUCUGAUGUUAGCGGCGGACGGGUGAGUAACACGUGGAUAACCUACCUAUAAGACUGGGAUAACUUCGGGAAACCGGAGCUAAUACCGGAUAAUAUUUUGAACCGCAUGGUUCAAAAGUGAAAGACGGUCUUGCUGUCACUUAUAGAUGGAUCCGCGCUGCAUUAGCUAGUUGGUAAGGUAACGGCUUACCAAGGUAACGAUGCAUAGCCGACCUGAGAGGGUGAUCGGCCACACUGGAACUGAGACACGGUCCAGACUCCUACGGGAGGCAGCAGUAGGGAAUCUUCCGCAAUGGGCGAAAGCCUGACGGAGCAACGCCGCGUGAGUGAUGAAGGUCUUCGGAUCGUAAAACUCUGUUAUUAGGGAAGAACAUAUGUGUAAGUAACUGUGCACAUCUUGACGGUACCUAAUCAGAAAGCCACGGCUAACUACGUG